rnacentral:lncRNA from 1 species
ACCUUGAUGGAUAGCUCUAUAAUAAAAUAUCUUAUAUUUUAUUAUUUAAGAACUCAAAUUUAAAUAACAGGGAGUUGUUACAAAAGAACAAUUUUUAAUAAUACGAAGAUCAAAUCUUUUAUAGCAUGUGAAUUUAGUUCAAGUAGACUACGUGCUUAGUCCUAAAUUAAUUUACAUCACAUGUAAUAAAUAAUUCAAAAUUAUAUAAUGAACAA